rnacentral:rRNA from 1 species
AGUGAACGCUGGCGGUAGGCCUAACACACGCAAGUCGAACGGCAGCACAGGAGAGCUUGCUCUCUGGGUGGCGAGUGGCGGACGGGUGAGGAAUACAUCGGAAUCUACCUUUUCGUGGGGGAUAACGUAGGGAAACUUACGCUAAUACCGCAUACGACCUACGGGUGAAAGUGGGGGACCGCAAGGCCUCACGCGAUUAGAUGAGCCGAUGUCCGAUUAGCUAGUUGGCGGGGUAAUGGCCCACCAAGGCGACGAUCGGUAGCUGGUCUGCGAGGAUGCUCAGCCACACUGGAACUGAGACACGGUCCAGACUCCUACGGGAGGCAGCAGUGGGGAAUAUUGGACAAUGGGCGCAAGCCUGAUCCAGCCAUACCGCGUGGGUGAAGAAGGCCUUCGGGUUGUAAAGCCCUUUUGUUGGGAAAGAAAUCCUAUCGGUUAAUAACCGGUGGGGAUGACGGUACCCAAAGAAUAAGCACCGGCUAACUUCGUGCCAGCCGCCGCCGUAAUAC